UGGGGAAUAUUAGUAAUGGGCGAAAGCCUGAACUAGCAACACCGCGUGUGCGAAGAAGGCCUUCGGGUUGUAAAGCACUUUUUGAGAGGAUGAGGAAGGACGGUACUCUCAGAAUAAGUCUCGGCUAACUACGUGCCAGCAGCCGCGGUAACACGUAGGAGGCAAACGUUAUCCGGAUUUACUGGGCGUAAAGCGCGUGUAGGUGGUUUGGUAAGUAGAGCGUGAAAGCUCCUGGCUCAACUGGGAGAGGUCGUUCUAAACUACAGAACUAGAGGAUGGUAGAGGGAGGUGGAAUUCCAGGUGUAGCGGUGGAAUGCGCAGAUAUCUGGAGGAACACCGGUGGCGAAGGCGGCCUCCUGGACCAUUCCUGACACUCAGACGCGAAAGCUAGGGUAGCAAACG
rnacentral:rRNA from 1 species